UACAGAGGUCCCAAGCGUUGUUCGGAUUCACUGGGCGUAAAGGGUGCGUAGGUGGUGAGGUAAGUCGGAUGUGAAAGCUCGGAGCUCAACUCCGAAAUGGCAUUGGAAACUACCUUGCUCGAGGGUCGGAGGGGGGACUGGAAUACUUGGUGUAGCAGUGAAAUGCGUAGAUAUCAAGUGGAACACCAGUGGCGAAGGCGAGUCCCUGGACGACUCCUGACACUGAGGCACGAAAGCUAGGGGAGCAAACAGG
rnacentral:rRNA from 1 species